ensembl:lncRNA
GCUAAUUAUCAAAACAUCUUAUGGUUUUGAAGUAACUAGCUAAUUAUCAAACACAUCUUAUAGUUUUGAAGUAACUAGCUAAUUAUCAAAACAUCUUAUGGUUUUGAAGUAACUAGCUAAUUAUCAAACACAUCUUAUAGUUUUGAAGUAACUAGCUAAUCAUCAAAACAUCUUAUAGUUUUGAAGUAACUAGCUAAUUAUCAAACACAUCUUAUGGUUUUGAAGUAACUAGCUAAUCAUCAAAAACAUCUUAUAGUUUUGAAGUAACUAGCUAAUUAUCAAACAUCUUAUAGUUUUGAAGUAACUAGCUAAUUAUCAAAACAUCUUAUGGUUUUGAAGUAACUAGCUAAUUAUCAAAACAUCUUAUGGUUUUGAAGUAACUAGCUAAUUAUCAAAACAUCUUAUGGUUUUGAAGUAACUAGCUAAUCAUCAAAAACAUCUUAUAGUUUUGAAGUAACUAGCUAAUUAUCAAAACAUCUUAUGGUUUUGAAGUAACUAGCUAAUUAUCAAAACAUCUUAUAGUUUUGAAGUAACUAGCUAUUUAUCAAAACAUCUUAUAGUUUUGAAGUAACUAG